AACGAACGCUGGCGGCAGGCUUAACACAUGCAAGUCGAGCGCCCCGCAAGGGGAGCGGCAGACGGGUGAGUAACGCGUGGGAAUCUACCCAUCCCUACGGAACAACUCCGGGAAACUGGAGCUAAUACCGUAUACGCCCUACGGGGGAAAGAUUUAUCGGGGAUGGAUGAGCCCGCGUUGGAUUAGCUAGUUGGUGGGGUAAUGGCCUACCAAGGCGACGAUCCAUAGCUGGUCUGAGAGGAUGAUCAGCCACAUUGGGACUGAGACACGGCCCAAACUCCUACGGGAGGCAGCAGUGGGGAAUAUUGGACAAUGGGCGAAAGCCUGAUCCAGCCAUGCCGCGUGAAGGAAGAAGGCCUACGGGUCGUGAACUUCUUUUCCCGGAGAAGAAGCAAUGACGGUAUCUGGGGAAUAAGCAUCGGCUAACUCUGUGCCAGCAGCCGCAGUAAAAC
rnacentral:rRNA from 1 species